rnacentral:rRNA from 1 species
AGUGAACGCUGGCGGCGUGCUUAACACAUGCAAGUCGAACGAGAACGGAUUAUAGCUUGCUAUAAUUGUCAGCUAAGUGGCGCACGGGUGAGUAAUAUAUAGAUAACCUGCCCUCUAGAAAGGAAUAACAGUUGGAAACGACUGCUACUGCCCUAUAUGCCUUUAAUACAUAAGUAUGCAAGGGAAACGCUUUAGUGCUAGAGGAUGGGUCUGUAUGGUAUCAGCUUGUUGGUGAGGUAAGGGCUCACCAAGGCUAUGACGCCUAACUGGUUUGAGAGGAUGAUCAGGCACACUGGAACUGAGACACGGUCCAGACUCCGACGGGAGGCAGCAGUGGGGAAUAUUGCACAAUGGACGAAAGUCUGAUGCAGCAACGCCGCGUGGAGGAUGACACAUUUCGGUGCGUAAACUCCUUUUAUAUAGGAAGAUAAUGACGGUACUAUAUGAAUAAGCACCGGCUAACUCCGUGCCAGCCGCCGCAGUAA